UCUCUGUGCUGGUUCAUCGUGAAACAUUGGAUGUCGUCUUCAUGGUACUCUUCAGUGUUUUCAUGUUGGUUUUCUGGAUCUUUAAAUUAUUUGGGAUUUUUAUUUAUCAUCUGCUGCCUGUGAGCUGAACUACACCGCUAUGGGAGCCAUAAUGAGAAUGAUCUGAAGAGUGUGAAAUGAGCCACAUAUUGUUUACUGCAUUAUAGGCAGGCCAGGAGCUGUUUCCCCCUCCAAGGUCCACUGUUGAUAACAGUCUGUUAUUGUGGUCCGUUGUUUAACAGUCAAUAGAGCAGAAAGUGAUGACACCCUCCAGCUCCUGAGAUUAUGACUGAAUGACUCAGCCGGAGGUGA